rnacentral:rRNA from 1 species
GAUAUGCCUAGGUGGGAUUAGCUAGUUGGUGAGGUAAGGGCUCACCAAGGCGACGAUCCCUAGCUGGUCUGAGAGGAUGAUCAGCCACACUGGAACUGAGACACGGUCCAGACUCCUACGGGAGGCAGCAGUGGGGAAUAUUGCACAAUGGGCGCAAGCCUGAUGCAGCCAUGCCGCGUGUGUGAAGAAGGCCUUCGGGUUGUAAAGCACUUUCAGUCGUGAGGAAGGUAGUGUAGUUAAUAGCUGCAUUAUUUGACGUUAGCGACAGAAGAAGCACCGGCUAACUCCGUGCCAGCAGCCGCGGUAAUACGGAGGGUGCGAGCGUUAAUCGGAAUUACUGGGCGUAAAGCGCAUGCAGGUGGUUUGUUAAGUCAGAUGUGAAAGCCCGGGGCUCAACCUCGGAAUUGCAUUUGAAACUGGCAGACUAGAGUACUGUAGAGGGGGGUAGAAUUUCAGGUGUAGCGGUGAAAUGCGUAGAGAUCUGAAGGAAUACCGGUGGCGAAGGCGGCCCCCUGGACAGAUACUGACACUCAGAUGCGAAAGCGUGGGGAGCAAACAGGAUUAGAUACCCUGGUAGUCCACGCCGUAAACGAUGUCUACUUGGAGGUUGUGGCCUUGAGCCGUGGCUUUCGGAGCUAACGCGUUAAGUAGACCGCCUGGGGAGUACGGUCGCAAGAUUAAAACUCAAAUGAAUUGACGGGGGCCCGCACAAGCGGUGGAGCAUGUGGUUUAAUUCGAUGCAACGCGAAGAACCUUACCUACUCUUGACAUCCAGAGAACUUUCCAGAGAUGGAUUGGUGCCUUCGGGAACUCUGAGACAGGUGCUGCAUGGCUGUCGUCAGCUCGUGUUGUGAAAUGUUGGGUUAAGUCCCGCAACGAGCGCAACCCUUAUCCUUGUUUGCCAGCGAGUAAUGUCGGGAACUCCAGGGAGACUGCCGGUGAUAAACCGGAGGAAGGUGGGGACGACGUCAAGUCAUCAUGGCCCUUACGAGUAGGGCUACACACGUGCUACAAUGGCGCAUACAGAGGGCGGCCAACUUGCGAAAGUGAGCGAAUCCCAAAAAGUGCGUCGUAGUCCGGAUUGGAGUCUGCAACUCGACUCCAUGAAGUCGGAAUCGCUAGUAAUCGUGGAUCAGAAUGCCACGGUGAAUACGUUCCCGGGCCUUGUACACACCGCCCGUCACACCAUGGGAGUGGGCUGCAAAAGAAGUAGGUAGUUUAACCUUCGGGGGGACGCUUACCACUUUGUGGUUCAUGACUGGGGUGAAGUCGUAACAAGGUAGCGCUAGGGGAACCUGGCGCUGGAUCACCUCCUUAUACGAUGAU